UACGUAGGAGACGAGCGUUGUCCGGAGUUACUGGGCGUAAAGGGUGCGCAGGCGGCCCUGCGCGUCGCGAGUGAAAUCUCCCGGCUCAACUGGGAGGGUGGUCGCGAGACGGCAGGGCUUGAGGCUCGGUGAGGGGCGUGGAAUUCCGGGUGGAGCGGUGAAAUGCGUAGAGAUCCGGAGGAACACCGACGGCGUAGGCAGCGCCCUGGCUGUGAAUAAAGCUGACACUGAGGCACGAAAGCUGGGGGAGCAAACAGG
rnacentral:rRNA from 1 species